CGAUUCUCAUUUAUAGUGUAAACCUCCGAGCACAUUCUUAACUUUCUCUAAAACUUUCAUUAUUAUAAAAAAUAAUACGAUAAUGAGCUUCGUAUCAAGAAAUUGCCAAAAUACCAUAAAAGAUAAGGAAUCAAAUUAACGAAUUUAAAACCUGAUAAAACCGCUUGCCAAUCCUCUUUGGGAAUCCGGAUCUCAGACUAAGAUAAUUAGGAAUCCAGGAACGGGUCAACAAAGUCCUCUAGUGACUUGUCUAGUCACAAUUCUGUCCACGUGUACGUCCGAUAACAGAUGUGGUUCUUCUAACAGGAUGUAAGCUUAACUGCAACAACUGGGGGAUACAAAACGAACAGCUGGCUUUAACGUCUCUUGAAUGAAAAUUGUAUGCGUUUAUGCAUUUGCAAGUCGAUACAAAUCGAAAUUUCUUUAUAGCUUUACUCCCCUUUCUAAUAGAUUAUUUAAUAUCCAUGAUUUAUAUA